rnacentral:rRNA from 2 species
AAUCCAUAGGUUAAUGAGGCGAACCGGGGGAACUGAAACAUCUAAGUACCCCGAGGAAAAGAAAUCAACCGAGAUUCCCCCAGUAGCGGCGAGCGAACGGGGAGGAGCCCAGAGCCUGAAUCAGCAUGUGUGUUAGUGGAAGCGUCUGGAAAGGCGCGCGAUACAGGGUGACAGCCCCGUACACAAAAGCGCAUGUGCUGUGAGCUCGAUGAGUAGGGCGGGACACGUGGUAUCCUGUCUGAAUAUGGGGGGACCAUCCUCCAAGGCUAAAUACUCCUGACUGACCGAUAGUGAACCAGUACCGUGAGGGAAAGGCGAAAAGAACCCCGGCGAGGGGAGUGAAAAAGAACCUGAAACCGUGUACGUACAAGCAGUGGGAGCACCCUUUGGGUGUGACUGCGUACCUUUUGUAUAAUGGGUCAGCGACUUAUAUUCUGUAGCAAGGUUAACCGAAUAGGGGAGCCGGAGGGAAACCGAGUCUUAACCGGGCGUUAAGUUGCAGGGUAUAGACCCGAAACCCGGUGAUCUAGCCAUGGGCAGGUUGAAGGUUGGGUAACACUAACUGGAGGACCGAACCGACUAAUGUUGAAAAAUUAGCGGAUGACCUGUGGCUGGGGGUGAAAGGCCAAUCAAACCGGGAGAUAGCUGGUUCUCCCCGAAAGCUAUUUAGGUAGCGCCUCGUGAAUUCAUCUCCGGGGGUAGAGCACUGUUUCGGCUAGGGGGCCAUCCCGGCUUACCAACCCGAUGCAAACUGCGAAUACCGGAGAAUGUUAUCACGGGAGACACACGGCGGGUGCUAACGUCCGUCGUGAAGAGGGAAACAACCCAGACCGCCAGCUAAGGUCCCAAAGUCAUGGUUAAGUGGGAAACGAUGUGGGAAGGCCCAGACAGCCAGGAUGUUGGCUUAGAAGCAGCCAUCAUUUAAAGAAAGCGUAAUAGCUCACUGGUCGAGUCGGCCUGCGCGGAAGAUGUAACGGGGCUAAACCAUGCACCGAAGCUGCGGCAGCGACACUGUGUGUUGUUGGGUAGGGGAGCGUUCUGUAAGCCUGUGAAGGUGUGUCGUGAGGCAUGCUGGAGGUAUCAGAAGUGCGAAUGCUGACAUAAGUAACGAUAAAGCGGGUGAAAAGCCCGCUCGCCGGAAGACCAAGGGUUCCUGUCCAACGUUAAUCGGGGCAGGGUGAGUCGACCCCUAAGGCGAGGCCGAAAGGCGUAGUCGAUGGGAAACGGGUUAAUAUUCCCGUACUUGGUGUUACUGCGAAGGGGGGACGGAGAAGGCUAUGUUGGCCGGGCGACGGUUGUCCCGGUUUAAGCGUGUAGGUGUGUGUUCCAGGUAAAUC